GUCUAUAGCCAUACCACCCUGAACACUCCCUAUCUUGUCUGAUCUCGAAAGCUAAGCAUGGUCAGGUCUGGUUAGUACUUGGAUAGGAGACAAAGGUAAACCAAAUAUUAACAUAGAAU
ensembl:rRNA 5S_rRNA 5S ribosomal RNA